UACGGGGUGCAGCAGUCGCGAAACCUUUGCAAUAAGCGAAAGCUUGACAGGGCUACCCCGAGUGCCAUCCGCUGAGGAAGGCUUUUACCCAGUCUAGAAAGCUGGGGGAAUAAGGAGAGGGCAAGUCUGGUGUCAGCCGCCGCGGUAAUACCAGCUCUUCGAGUGGUGUGGAUGUUUAUUGGGCCUAAAGCAUCCGUAGCUGGCUAGGUCAGUCCCUUGUUAAAUCCACCGAAUUAAUCGUUGGAUCGCGGGGGAUACUGCUUGGCUAGGGGACGAGAGAGGCAGACGGUAUUUUCGGGGUAGGGGUGAAAUCCUAUAAUCCCGGGAAGACCACCAGUGGCGAAGGCUGUCUGCUAGAACGCGCCCGACGGUGAGGGAUGAAAGCUGGGGGAGCGAACCGGAUUAGAUACCCGGGUAGUCCCAGCUGUAAACGAUGCAGACUAGGUGUUUGGACGGCCACGUGCCGUUCUAGUGCCGCAGGGAAGCUGUUAAGUCUGCCGCCUGGGGAGUACGAUCGCAAGAUUGAAACUUAAAGGAAUUGGCGGGGGAGCACCACAAGGGGUGAAGCUUGCGGUUUAAUUGGAGUCAACGCCGGAAAUCUCACCGGGAGCGACAGCAGUAUGAAAGCCAGAUUGAAGGUCUUGCUAGACGAGCUGAGAGGAGGUGCAU
rnacentral:rRNA from 1 species